UCGGAGGGCUGAUCCAUGCAUCGGUGCUCGAGGCAUGAUUAGGAGUGCUGGGGUUCUCAGGGUUGGUGAUGCCGAGAGUCAGGGAGCGUGGCAUACACUUGGUGAGCAUAGAGAAGGGAGAGAGGCCAGUGGUUUUGGGGAACUCCAUCUGCAGUGUUGGCAGAGUCUGAGUACCACAGCCAGAUGCACACAUGGGUGUAUGAUCAUCUACACGGCACGCCCAGCACCUCCUGAAACUUCCUCGGCCCAGAACGUGGGUCCCAUGUGUGGUUCUAAUCUGCCACGAACCUGCCAGGAGCUGUGCACGGAGUGCUUCUGUGACCUGGACACUGACCUGUAGUGGGUAGCCAUUCCAGCAUUGGUCUGGAAGUUCCAACUCCCAUUGAGGCUUCAGUAACUGUCAUGCCUACAAGGCGGGGCCGAGAGAGGACCCUGAAGACCUGAGAUUGGGAUGUGCCACCUUCUCUUGAUUCCCAGACCCUGAACGCUGGAGGUAGACCGAGCAGAGUUCUCCAGAGAACACCGCCGGACUGUGCUAUGUCUUCCCCAGAACCUGUAGUCUAUCCCUUCAUUUGUGAGUUACCCCACAAAAUAAACCUCCCUUUUAACUA